rnacentral:rRNA from 1 species
CAGCAGCCGCGGGAAUACAGAGGGUGCAAGCGUUAAUCGGAUUUACUGGGCGUAAAGCGUGCGUAGGCGGCUUCUUAAGUCGGAUGUGAAAUCCCUGAGCUUAACUUAGGAAUUGCAUUCGAUACUGGGAAGCUAGAGUAUGGGAGAGGAUGGUAGAAUUCCAGGUGUAGCGGUGAAAUGCGUAGAGAUCUGGAGGAAUACCGAUGGCGAAGGCAGCCAUCUGGCCUAAUACUGACGCUGAGGUACGAAAGCAUGGGGAGCAAACAGGAUUAGAGACCCCGGUAGUCCCUGUCUCUUAUAC